rnacentral:hammerhead_ribozyme from 13 species
CGAAUGUCUAUUACCUUUCACAAAUGUACACUGAUGAGCCGAAAUACGGCGAAACAUGCG